AGGUCGAGUUCAUGGCUCGGCAGA
rnacentral:siRNA from 1 species